GACGAACGCUGGCGGCGUGCUUAACACAUGCAAGUCGAACGGAAAGGCCCUGCUUUUGUGGGGUGCUCGAGUGGCGAACGGGUGAGUAACACGUGAGUAACCUGCCCUUGACUUUGGGAUAACUUCAGGAAACUGGGGCUAAUACCGGAUAGGAGCUCCUGCUGCAUGGUGGGGGUUGGAAAGUUUCGGCGGUUGGGGAUGGACUCGCGGCUUAUCAGCUUGUUGGUGGGGUAGUGGCUUACCAAGGCUUUGACGGGUAGCCGGCCUGAGAGGGUGACCGGCCACAUUGGGACUGAGAUACGGCCCAGACUCCUACGGGAGGCAGCAGUGGGGAAUAUUGCACAAGGGGCGGAAGCCUGAUGCAGCAACGCCGCGUGCGGGAUGACGGCCUUCGGGUUGUAAACCGCUUUCGCCUGUGACGAAGCGUGAGUGACGGUAAUGGGUAAAGAAGCACCGGCUAACCACGU
rnacentral:rRNA from 1 species